UACGGAGGAUGCAAGCGUUAUCCGGAAUGAUUGGGCGUAAAGCGUCCGCAGGUGGCUAUGUAAGUCUGCUGUUAAAGAGUGAGGCUCAACCUCAUAAGUGCAGUGGAAACUACAUGGCUAGAGUGCGUUCGGGGCAGAGGGAAUUCCUGGUGUAGCGGUGAAAUGCGUAGAUAUCAGGAAGAACACCGAUGGCGAAAGCACUCUGCUAGGCCGCAACUGACACUGAGGGACGAAAGCUAGGGGAGCGAAUAGG
rnacentral:rRNA from 1 species